UGCGGGGUCGUCUAACGGCAGGACAGCGGCCUUUGAAGCCGUUUAUAAACGUUCGAAUCGUUUCCCCGCAG
rnacentral:tRNA from 1 species